rnacentral:tRNA from 2 species
GCUCCCGUGGGCGAAUUGGUUAAGCCGCUACCCUUUCAAGGUGGAAGUUGCGAGUUCAAAUCUCGUCGGGAGCA